AUGGUCGCCGGCGACGUCAACAAAGUCGACGUAGCUCCUCUGGCUUCUCUGCCGAAGCAGGUGCUAGCUCCUCAGCCUCAGCCGGGUCUUCGUCUGCCGCGGUUGUUGCCUCCCCUGCCCCCACCUGUGGUCGUCGCCGACGAGAACGAAGAAGAGGUUUUCUCUGGUCAGUACAAGGCAAAUAAGGUCCUAAGUGACGAUGUCGACAGCGACCCAGAAACCCAGGGGAUCUACACGAGGCAGAAGGUGAGGGAGCUGGAUAGUGGUGUGCUCGAGAAACGUGUCAUGCCAAGAAUCGGAAGGGGGGCUACAGAUGCCCUUACUGCAACAAGCUGA
rnacentral:rRNA from 1 species